rnacentral:rRNA from 1 species
CCUACGGGUGGCAGCAGUGGGGAAUUUUGGGCAAUGGGCGCAAGCCUGACGCAGCAAUGCCGCGUGAGGGAUGAAGGUCUUCGGAUCGUAAACCUCUGUCAGCAGGGAAGAACGGUCACUGUGCUAAUCAGCAGUGAAUUGACGGUACCUGCAGAGGAAGCACCGGCUAACUACGUGCCAGCAGCCGCGGUAAUACGGAGGGUGCGAGCGUUAAUCGGAAUUACUGGGCGUAAAGCGCGCGUAGGCGGUAUGGCAAGUCAAGGGUGAAAUCCCCGCGCUCAACGUGGGAACUGCCUUUGAAACUGGCAGACUGGAGUGUGGGAGAGGAUAGUGGAAUUCCAGGUGUAGGAGUGAAAUCCGUAGAUAUCUGGAAGAACACCAGUGGCGAAGGCGACUAUCUGGCACGUAACUGACGCUGAGGAGCGAAAGCGUGGGUAGCAAACAGGAUUAGAUACCCCUGUAGUC